UACGAAGGGGGCUAGCGUUGUUCGGAAUCACUGGGCGUAAAGCGCACGUAGGCGGAUUUGUAAGUCAGGGGUGAAAUCCCGGGGCUCAACCUCGGAACUGCCUUUGAUACUGCAAGUCUCGAGUUCGGGAGAGGUGAGUGGAAUUCCUAGUGUAGAGGUGAAAUUCGUAGAUAUUAGGAAGAACACCAGUGGCGAAGGCGGCUCACUGGCCCGAUACUGACGCUGAGGUGCGAAAGCGUGGGGAGCAAACAGG
rnacentral:rRNA from 1 species